CCGGGAGUCACGUGACCGGCUGCCCGGGGCUUCCGACCUGCCAGCGAAAGUCCGCCUCCGCCAGUAGUCGCGGGCUGGCCACCUGCAGUUUGUUGCUCGCCCCGCCCUGCUCGUCCUUAGGUCCCAAUUAAUUAGCGUCCUUCCCCCAGAAACGGAGUCUUAACCAGUCAGUCGGGAAUUUUCUGAUCAGCAUCAAUAAGGAAUCUUGUCACAUGGGCCCUUCUCCAACCUCCAAAAGAAGGCAAGGAACGUGACAAGGAACAAGGAUGGUUGAGUUUCAUCUUCCUUGGUUUGGUUGCCAGCUGGCAGAAUGAAGAAAAAGGAACAGAAGCAAGAAUCUAAGUGAUUCAUGAAGUGACUUAUCAGCACAGUAUAACUAAGAAUUGGUAGUAUUAAGUCUUCCACUCCUGAAGACAACUGGCACCAGGAGCAUCAUAAUUCUGAGAUGGUGCAGGGGUAGUCUAAGGCACAUUCCCAUUGUUGAAUUUACUGAGGCCCAUGGGAAGCUUCGAGGAUGGUGGCUGAAGGCUCCUGUAAGUCUCCGGUUUUCUAAGAAACAGCCUUGAUCAGCUGGAAAGGGCCUUGUGAGAUCUUCAGCUCCAGCUCACCCCCAGACUUCAAAGCCAGUCUAAAUCUAUACAAAAGGGCCUCAAAUCCAUUGUAUAAUUGGCUAGGUAUCAAUAAACAACUAUCCGGACUAGUGAAAUGUGUGAAUUUAUAUGCUGAUUUUCUUAUUUUAAAAUGAUUCUGGGAAAAAAUAUUCCACAGUUUC